AUACGAAAAGCAGAUGUUUCCGGGGGGACACAGACACAGCAGUGGUGCACUGAUUGUAAAGGCCUUCAAAUGAAUGGCCACCUGUUAGAGAGCGCUGUUUUUGUUCCUGAAGUGCUCUGCUCAUUUGCAGUUGUGACAUUGCUUACUAAGUUGGUCAUGACAGCACAACAGACAGAAUGAUGUCCACCAGACUACUGACACUGCUUCACCCACAUCCUGCUGAGAAGAGUCUACCACAAAUCUGCAAUGCCUUUUUCUCAAAUCUCAGAAGACCCCAUGAAAAUGUCACCAUAGGUCUCUGUCAGUCUGGAUCCUGCUUUAACAAAAGGGAUGACACCACUAUGGCAAGAGGUUUUUCAGCCUGACACCUGCUGAGAUUGUGAAUGCAGCCCCAGCGUCCGUUAAACCCUACCUCAGAUUUAUGAGACUGGACAAACCCAUAGGUGAGCUCUUAUGAAAUGCCUCCAAGCAGAGUACAAGAUCUAUUAUGUCCAGGAGGCAAAUUCAGCACAUGAUUACAUGCUUUGUUCAGUGAAUAUUUGGGGCAUGCUCCAUUUGUGGUAGAGGUCGACCGAUUAUGGAUUUUGCCAAUACCGAUAACUAAGGUGGUGGAAAAGGCAGAUAACUGAUUAAUAUGCCAACGCUUUUUAAGAUAUAUUUACAGAAUGUUAACAAUUUUCUUAGUGUUUCCUUACUGUGACGGGCACAGACACAGAGGCCAAAAGUGUCCAAAUUGAAUAAAAUCCCAAAUGCAGUUUAUUGUUCAACCAAAAUCCCAACAAUACCCAGGACAAAAUACAGAUUUGAAACAUAAUGUGGGACUUUUAACUUUAAAGCCUUAAACACACCAGGGACUCUUUAUGUUGAAAGGACAGAGACUUGGCCCCAUUAUAUUGCUCUUUAUUUAUGUACUUACCAAAUUAAGCCUUUUAUAGCCUAUAUAGUCACCAGAUGAAGUGUUCUGUAUACAUUUCACAACAUGAGGUUUAAUGAGGAAUCAUGUUUUUAUUAUUAUUAGGGCCCAAGCACUGAAAGUGUGGAGGCCCUAUUGUUCUUCUAAGGAUUAUUAUUAUUAUUUUUAUUAUUAUUAUUAUUAUUAUUAUUAUUAUUUUCAAGAUUUUCAGUACUUUUGGGGUACAUAAAAUGCAUGAAAACUCUUGAAAGUUUGCACACACAUCAGAGUCGCUGGCCAUUAGGGCGUGACAGAGUUACAGGUGGGGGGGUGCGGGAGGGGCUCUGCGGCGCCACCUAGAACAUGGGCAUGUUCGGGGGGCUAUGUAGCACAUCCCUUUUGAGCUACAGUCACCAAACUUUGUACACAUAUAGAUCUCAUCAAGCCGGACAACUUUCGCGCUGACAGUCAUAAGCUCUGCCCAAAAGGAAGUUGGCCAUUUUGGAUUGUUUGAAAAAUGCAUGCUCAGGAAUUUGAUAUACUCCUCCCAGGGAUUUCAUGUUACAGGUACCAAAUGUGGGCGACAUCAUGCCAAGACAUUGACGAUGCUAAAUUGUGAAAUUUAGGGCUUGCAAAGGGUGGUGCGAACUGCCAGACACAUCAUCGGAGUUGAGCUUCCCUCCCUCCAGGACAUAUAUACCAGACGGUGUGUGAAAAAAGCUCGGAGGAUUAUCAGAGACUCCAGCCACCCGAGCCAUGGGCUGUUCUCACUGCUACCAUCAGGUAGACGGUAUCGCAGCAUCAGGACCCGCACCAGCCGACUUCAUGAUAGCUUCUUCCCCCAAGCAAUCAGACUUUUGAACUCUUGAUCUCCCACGAUCAAAAUACAUCAGCCCUGCACUUUAUUACUCUUAUAUCUCACAUUGGACUGUCAUAAAUUAUAUUAUUAUUAUAUUAUAUUCUCUCUUAACAACUUACUAUCAACUGACAGCCUGAAUGUCAAUACAGUACAAUACAACCUACUGUACAUUCUAUAUAUACUACUAUAUAUACUUUUUUAUUUUUAUUGAAUAAUGUGUAUCUAUAUUGUGUGUAUUGUAUACUGUACAGUGUAUGUUAUUAUUUGUAUAUUGUUGUGUGUAAUUAUGUGUAUAUUAGACUUUAAAUUGUGUUGUGUUAAUUUGAUGUUAUUGUAAAUUGGUAUAUGUCUCAUCACUGUCACGUCUGCUAUGUUGAUCGGAACUGCACCCAAGAAUUACACACACCAUUGCACUUGUGUAUAUGGUUGUGUGACAAUAAAAGUGAUUUGAUUUGA